rnacentral:tRNA from 6 species
GGGUCGUUAGCUCAGUUGGUAGAGCAGUUGACUUUUAAUCAAUUGGUCGCAGGUUCGGGUCUCACGUAGUGAGACAACGGAGCCGCUUGCGGCGACGGCCCGAAGGGCGAGCAAAGCGAGUCAUCCUGCACGACCCACCA